GAGGUUGAGGAAGUUAUAGGACUUAGUUGCUCGGUGAGAAAACCUGAUGAUCUGGAGUCCUUCUCCUACCGAUGCCACUAAGUCCCAUGAUUUCCUCUCCCUC
ncrna:Malus domestica miR2118c stem-loop (mdm-MIR2118c)